rnacentral:rRNA from 1 species
ACGAACGCUGGCGGCAGGCCUAACACAUGCAAGUCGAACGCCCCGCAAGGGGAGUGGCAGACGGGUGAGUAACACGUGGGAAUCUUCCUGUUGGUACGGAAUAGCUCAGGGAAACUUGGGGUAAUACCGUAUAAGCCCGAGAGGGGAAAGAUUUAUCGCCGACAGAUGAGCCCGCGUCUGAUUAGCUAGUUGGUGAGGUAAUGGCUCACCAAGGCGACGAUCAGUAGCUGGUCUGAGAGGAUGACCAGCCACACUGGGACUGAGACACGGCCCAGACUCCUACGGGAGGCAGCAGUGGGGAAUAUUGGACAAUGGGCGCAAGCCUGAUCCAGCCAUGCCGCGUGAGUGACGAAGGUCUUCGGAUUGUAAAGCUCUUUUACCAGGGACGAUAAUGACGGUAGCUGGAGAAUAAGCCCCGGCUAACUUCGU